UUAAAACCGGAAAACCGGACCGGAACCGGUAAAACCGGACAUACCAGUUUAGGGGGGUAACGGGUGUGUAAUCGGUUUUUGAAAAUACAAAACCGAUAUAUACCGGUUCAGUCUGGUUUUGUAUACCGGUUCGGUCCUAGAUUUUAUCCAAAACGGGACCGAACCGGACCCGUUACACCCCUACUAAGAACAGAAAGAGGGUCUGAGCAGUCAGCUGUGCUCCUGAUGGAAGCGCCUAUCAGAAGUGGUGAUUACACUUAUAAACAUACACAGAUACAUGUUUGCAAUGUAUAUUAUAUUCAUAUCCCUAUUUUUUUUUUUCUUUUGUCCUUUUUGUUUUUGUUACUCUCAUUUUUCAUUAAUGUUUCAGCAACAGUUGCGGGGUUUCAGUGGCAAUCGCUUUGGCCGACCUACAUGAUUGUGAAACCAAGAAGGUGGUGGUGCAGAGGUUUAGAGGAGUAUCAGAGAGGCAAAACAUUGUGAAACUAACCUUUGGGGACCAACCUAGAUUGCCCUCGCCCUUUCGGGUUUUCAUGGAGAGCUUUGUUAAGACCUGCAAGGCUAUAAAUGUGAUUAGCACUGAUCAAAACGGGCUUGACAUUUGGAAGAACAUGUCCAAGGAGGAGAGGAAACCAUACAUUAUUGAAGCUGAAAGGGUAAACCAUUCUUAUGGGAAAGCUUUGCUUGAAGAAGUUGACAAUUUGCAAGAGAUAGUGAUCAAUGCAUAGAGUUGGAUCUACAAGCAAGAAAAAAUGAAGUGGAAAGGAAGGAGAAAGAGGUCCAGAAGAGACUUGGCGAUAUCGAGAAGAUGGAGAUUGAGUUCCGUAAGAGAGCGACUGAGAUUAAGAAGAGAGAGAUGGUGCAAUCCAGUAGAGACGAGGCAUUUUUGAAGGAGUUGGUGCUUCUUGAGCAAGAAGCUAGAAUAAGACGUUCAUGCACAUUAAUCCGAGUGUAUUGGGCUUUUGUAGUUUGUGUUUUUUUUACUUAGUGACUUCAUAGUGGUGUAGUUGGUGUAUGUAGUUUAAGUGUUAGAAGUUUAAUUAGAAUGUAAUGUAAAUGCAAUGUAAAUAUUGGAUUUGAUGUUUAUUAAGCUUUGUAGAAUGCAAUUAUAUUAGCA